rnacentral:lncRNA from 1 species
UAGAGGUAAUGCACAAAUAGGUUCCAAGUAUGCAAGGAGGUAUGAUUCUUUGGAAUAUAUGGGAGACGAGUAGCUAUAAAUGCUUGUACUGUAAUCAUCCCCAUGCUUCAAAUGCAACACUAUCAUUGCAUGAGUACAUGGCAAUUUCAUCAAGUUAUACUUCCUGCAAGAGCAUGGCAUUUUCGAUAGAUUAACUUUGGCGAAAGGAUCACAACCAAGCACAGUGAAUUAGUCGAUGCUUCCGUUUAUGUUUAUCACAUACAAUUUGCCGCCCUCGAUCAUGUUUUUCCUCA